rnacentral:rRNA from 1 species
GAUGAACGCUGGCGGCGUGCCUAAUACAUGCAAGUCGAGCGGUAAGGCUUCUUCGGAAGUACACGAGCGGCGGACGGCUGAGUAAUGCAUAGGAACGUACCCCAGACUGAGGGAUAAGCCACCGAAAGGUGGUCUAGUACCGCAUGUGCUCUUCGGAGUAAAGCUACGGCGGUUUGGGAGCGGCCUAUGUUCGAUUAGCUUGUUGGUGAGGUAAUGGCUCACCAAGGCGACGAUCGAUAGCGGGUCUGAGAGGAUGAUCCGCCAGACUGGAACUGAGACACGGUCCAGACUCCUACGGGAGGCAGCAGUAGGGAAUUUUCCACAAUGGGGGCAACCCUGAUGGAGCAACGCCGCGUGCAGGAUGAAGGCCUUCGGGUUGUAAACUGCUUUUCUCUGUGAUGAUUAUGACAGUAGCAGAGGAAUAAGGAUCGGCUAACUCCGUGCCAGCAGCCGCAGUAA